CACGUAGGGGGCAAGCGUUGUCCGGAUUUAUUGGGCGUAAAGAGCUCGUAGGCGGUUCGGCAAGUCGGGUGUGAAACCCCCAGGCUCAACCUGGGGACGCCACCCGAUACUGCUGUGACUUGAGUCCGGUAGGGGAGCGUGGAAUUCCUGGUGUAGCGGUGAAAUGCGCAGAUAUCAGGAGGAACACCAGCGGCGAAGGCGGCUCACUGGGGGUUUUCUGACGCUGAGGAACGAAAGCCAGGGGAGCGAACGGG
rnacentral:rRNA from 1 species